UUGAAAGGGAAACGAUUGAAGUCAGUCGUACUGACGGGAAAUCAACCUUUUGGGUAUGAUCUUGUGGAUGCUAGAGAGCUUAACGGCCUCUGUGUUUUCAAGUUUGUGCUCUUGGGCGUAUUUUCUCGUAUAGUAAGUUAACAUCAAUUUCGGUCGUUAUAAAAUGAUCGGAGGGAAGUAGCUUCGAUUUAUCGAAGUGUUAUAGACUCUGGUAGAUGUAACGAUUGGGAUUGAGGAUUGCAACGAAUACCCGUCAGGGCUAUCCGUCUGGCCUCUGAUCAUUACCUUGGUGCCGAAAGCUUGCUUACGGUUAUUGAGGUUGAUGGUCAAAAGGUUAGAACGUGAUUAAAUUUCGUUAAGGAUGUUGACGUA
rnacentral:rRNA from 1 species